CCUACGGGUGGCAGCAGUGAGGAAUAUUGGUCAAUGGACGAGAGUCUGAACCAGCCAAGUAGCGUGAAGGAUGACUGCCCUAUGGGUUGUAAACUUCUUUUAUAUGGGAAUAAAAUGUUCCACGUGUGGGAUUUUGUAUGUACCAUAUGAAUAAGGAUCGGCUACCUCCGUGCCAGCAGCCGCGGUAAUACGGAGGAUCCGAGCGUUAUCCGGAUUUAUUGGGUUUAACGGGAGCGUAGGUGGAUUGUUAAGUCAGUUGUGAAAGUUUGCGGCUCAACCGUAAAAUUGCAGUUGAAACUGGCAGUCUUGAGUACAGUAGAGGUGGGCGGAAUUCGUGGUGUAGCGGUGAAAUGCUUAGAUAUCACGAAGAACUCCGAUUGCGAAGGCAGUUCACUGGACUGCAACUGACACUGAGGCUCGAAAGUGUGGGUAUCAAACAGGAUUAGAUACCCGUGUAGUC
rnacentral:rRNA from 1 species